CAACUACUGAAGCUCGAGCGCCCCAGAGCCCGUGCUCCUCAACAAGAGAAGCCACCGCAACUAGAGAGCAGCCCCUGCUCACCACAGCUAGAGAAAAACCCACGCGGCAGCGAAGACUCAGCACAGCCAAAAAUACGUAAAUAAAAUUAUUAAUAUAUAUAUAUAUCUCCCUUGAGGAAAAAAACAGCACAGCAGAGCCAGGUUCUAAGUUGGUAUUUAAGCCUGUUAGAGAUUCAUGCAUUGGAGAAGGAAAUGGCAACCCACUCCAGUGUUCUUGCCUGGAGAAUUCCAGGGAUGGGGGAGCCUAGUGGGCUGUCGUCUUUGGGGUCGCACAGAGUCGGACACGACUGAAGCCACUUAGCAGCAGCAGCAGCAGCAGCAGCAGCAGCAGCAGCAGCAGAGAAUCAAAGCCACAUCAGACAACUAAACCCAGCUGGAGCCUGCACCAGAAAAAAUAUCCAGACCAGCCAGCAUCUGAGGAUCAGCAGGGACCCGGUAGACAGGGAUCCAGUAGCCCACUGCACAGCAAAGACCCUCCUCACUCAGCAGGAGCCCCUUGCCCAUCACCAAGCUGAAGCCCAGCAGGAACCUCAAGCACAGCAAAAAUCCACUCUGCAUCAGGAGUUUCGUCCGCCGCAGGCCUCUGCCCCACAGACAUCAUCUCCCAUCCAAAGGGUGCCCUUUAGUAAACAGGAAGCUGCCUCACAGCACAGACCUGAGCCAGGAAAAGAAUCUAGAACUCAACAGAACCCAGAACUGAGACAGGGAUCCGGAGCCCAGUCAGAACCUGGUCCUAUAGAGCCUCUUGUAGCCCCACAAGAAGCCGGAUCAACCACCUCUGGCCCAGCCUAGACCUCAACCCCAAAAUGGACCACCAGCCCAGACUAAACCUAUGUCCUGAGAAAUAUGGUGAGAGUCGGACCCUGGCUCAGCACACAGCUCCAGCCCAGGGAGCCAAAGGCCAGCCGAGGUCUUUACCAUGGAGAUUUCUAGCAAAACCAAACCAGGGCUUCCCUGCUGGACCAGUGGUUAAGAAGCCACCUGCCAAUGUGGGAGGUUUGAUCCCUGGUCUGCGAAGAUCCCAUCUGUCGAGGAGCAACUGAGCCUGUGUACCUCAACUAACGAAUCUGUGCUCUAGAGCCCAGAAGCCACAGCUACUGAAGUCCGUGCGCCCUGGGGCCCGUGCCCUGCAACAAGAGAAGCUGCUAUGAUGACAGACCCUCGCACUGCAACUCGAGAGUAACACAGCUCUCUGCAACUAGGGUAGAGCCUGCAUAGCAAUGAAGACCUGGCACAAUAAUAGAUAAAUUAAUUAAUUAAAUUAUACAUAUAUAGACCCAACCUACCACCACGCAGAAACCCACUUCAGAGCAGAAGACAUUUCUUGAAUGGGUAAUAGAGUUUGGUGCAGAUUUGGAUGUGGGGUUUACUUUAGAGACCGAUUUGCCAGCCAGGAGGGAUGAACAGUGGCCCCCAGAAUGAAGCUGGCCUUCAAGGGGCAACCUGGUUAUGAAGUGAUGCCAGGAUUCAGUGGGAUACCAACAGUUCAGUUCAGUUGCUCAAUCGUGCCUGGCGUGCUGCAGUCCAUGGGGUCGCAAAGAAUCAGACACAACUGAGCAACUGAACUGAACUGAACUGAGGUUGGUCAUAGCUUUUCUUCCAAGGAACAAGCGUUUUUUAAUUUCAUGGCUGCAGUCACCAUCUGCAGUGAUUUUGGAGCCCCCCAAAAUAGUCUCUCACUGUUUCCCUUGUUUCCACAUCUAUUUGCCAUGAAGUGAUUGGACUGGAUGCCAUAAUCUUAGUUUUCUGAAUGUUGAGUUUUAAGCCAACUUUUUCACUCUCUUCUUUCACUUUCAUCAAGAGGCUCUUUAGUACUUCUUCCCUUUCUGCCAUGAGGGUGGUGUCUCACCAACACCCAGGAAGAAAACCAGCAGCCAGAAUCGCAGACAAUACCGGUACACAGUGGUCAUGUGUGGAUGUGACAGUUGGACUAUGAAGAAGGCUGAGUGCCGAAGAAUUGAUGCUUUUGACCUGUGGUAUUGGAGAAGACUCUUGAGAGUCCCUUGGACUGCAAGGAGAUCCAACCAGUCCAUUCUAGAGGAGAUCAGUCCUGGGUGUUCACUGGAAGGACUGAUGCUAAAGCUGAAAAUCCAACACUUUGGCCACCUCAUGCGAAGAUUUGACUCGUUGGAAAAGACUCUGAUGCUGGGAGGGAUUGGGUGCAGGAGGAGAAGGGGAUGACCCAGGAUGAGAUGGCUGGAUGGCAUCAUGGACUCAAUGGACGUGAGUCUGAGUGAACUCCGGGAGCUGGUGAUGGACAGGGAGGCCAGGCGUGCUGCGAUUCAUGGGGUCGCAGAGUCAGACAUGACUGAGCAACUGAACUGAACUGAAC
ensembl:lncRNA